AUGGCGGAGAAGAAGGUUGUGGUGAAGCUGGACGUGCACGACGACAGGCAGAAGCAGAAGGCGAUGCAGGUCGUCUCCACCCUCCACGGUAUCGACCAUAUCGCCGUGGACAUGAAGGACCAGAAGAUGACGGUCAUCGGCACCGUCGACCCCGUCGUCCUCGUCGAAAGGCUGCGCAGCAAGUUCCCCACGGCGCAGAUGCUCACCGUCGGCCCGGCCAAGGAGGAGAAGAAGGACGCCGCCAAGAAGGAAGGCGAGAAGAAGGAGGGCGACAAGAAGGAGGGCGAGAAGAGCAAGCCGGUGGUGUACCCGCCUCCGUACUGGUACCCGCCGCCGCCGUACCACCACGCCUGCAGCGGCGAGGAGGACCCCAACUCGUGCAUCAUCUCCUAA
rnacentral:rRNA from 1 species